UGGUUAUACCGUCCAUGUAGCUGUGGUACUGCGCUGGUUGCGCUGUCCGAGCUCUCCUGACUAGUCAGUGUUGCCCACCCUUGUGGUGGUGUCUUGCUUUCUGGAAUGGUUUGCCGUGUCAGUGUUUAGCUUGCCCUUUGGGUGAGAACCGGUGUUAAUGUCGAUCACCGUUCUGUCCCGUCUUGAAACACGGACCGAGGAGUGUAACUUGUGCGCGAGUCAGAGGGUGUUAAACCUUACGGCGAAAUGAAAGUAAAGGUCGAUUAAUCGGCUGAGAUGGGAUCCUUGCUUUACGGCUUGGCGCACCAUCGCCCUGUCUCGAAAGCUUGCUUUUGGGCAGAGGUAGAGCGUACAGGUUGCGACCCGAAAGAUGGUGAACUAUGCUUGAGCAGAACGAAGCCAGAGGAAACUCUGGUGGAAGUUCGUAUCGGUUCUGACGUGCAAAUCGAUCGAUAGACUUGAGUAUAGGGGCGAAAGACUAAUCGAACCAUCUAG
rnacentral:rRNA from 1 species